rfam:Tupaia chinensis contig159257, whole genome shotgun sequence.
GUGCCCACUUCAGCAGCACAUAUACUAAAAUUGGAACAAUAAAGAGAAGAUAGGCCUGGCCCUGCAUGAAGAUGACAUGCAAGUUCAUGAAGUGUUCUAUAUUUUU